UACGAUGGAGGGCUAGCGUUGCUCCGGAAUCACUGGGCGUAAAGCGCACGUAGGCGGAUUGUUAAGUCAGGGGUGAAAUCCUGGAGCUCAACUCCAGAACUGCCUUUGAUACUGGCGAUCUUGAGUCCGGGAGAGGUGAGUGGAACUGCGAGUGUAGAGGUGAAAUUCGUAGAUAUUCGCAAGAACACCGGUGGCGAAGGCGGG
rnacentral:rRNA from 1 species